UUCCUUAAAUGUAACUCUAUUAACAAAUAAAGUACAUUCUAUUAACGGUUAACUUCAAAUGUCUAAGAUGUGACAAUAUUUUUUAGUGUCCAUUAUAAUUUUUUUAAAGCAAUUUAACCAUUCGAUCCUUUUAAGUAAAAAAAAAAACACUGUUGAAUUUUGGAGGUCUAUUGUAUCUAAUAAUGAAUCAUCGAUACCUAAUAUGUUUGACAUUUCUUCAUCUUGUUCUCUCUCUUUCUUUAUCAUCUUGAUCACAUAUUCAUUAACUUCAUCCAUAAAACUUUAAAAAAAUCAGAAAAUAAAUAUAUAAAAGAAGAACCUCUCUC
rnacentral:lncRNA from 1 species